rnacentral:rRNA from 1 species
UUCGCCCUUAGAGUUUGAUCCUGGCUCAGGACGAACGCUGGCGGCGCGCCUAACACAUGCAAGUCGAACGAGAGAGAGGAAGCUUGCUUCCUCAAUCGAGUGGCGAACGGGUGAGUAACGCGUGAGGAACCUGCCUCAAAGAGGGGGACAACAGUUGGAAACGACUGCUAAUACCGCAUAAGCCCACAGCUCGGCAUCGAGCAGAGGGAAAAGGAGCAAUCCGCUUUGAGAUGGCCUCGCGUCCGAUUAGCUAGUUGGUGAGGUAACGGCCCACCAAGGCGACGAUCGGUAGCCGGACUGAGAGGUUGAACGGCCACAUUGGGACUGAGACACGGCCCAGACUCCUACGGGAGGCAGCAGUGGGGAAUAUUGCACAAUGGGGGAAACCCUGAUGCAGCGACGCCGCGUGGAGGAAGAAGGUCUUCGGAUUGUAAACUCCUGUUGUUGAGGAAGAUAAUGACGGUACUCAACAAGGAAGUGACGGCUAACUACGUGCCAGCAGCCGCGGUAAAACGUAGGUCACAAGCGUUGUCCGGAAUUACUGGGUGUAAAGGGAGCGCAGGCGGGAGAACAAGUUGGAAGUGAAAUCCAUGGGCUCAACCCAUGAACUGCUUUCAAAACUGUUUUUCUUGAGUAGUGCAGAGGUAGGCGGAAUUCCCGGUGUAGCGGUGGAAUGCGUAGAUAUCGGGAGGAACACCAGUGGCGAAGGCGGCCUACUGGGCACCAACUGACGCUGAGGCUCGAAAGUGUGGGUAGCAAACAGGAUUAGAUACCCUGGUAGUCCACACCGUAAACGAUGAUUACUAGGUGUUGGAGGAAUUGACCCCUUCAGUGCCGCAGUUUAACACAAUAAGUAAUCCACUGGGGGAGUACGACCGCAAGGUUGAAACUCAAAGGAAUUGACGGGGGCCCGCACAAGCAGUGGAGUAUGUGGUUUAAUUCGACGCAACGCGAAGAACCUUACCAAGUCUUGACAUCCCUUGACGAUGCUGGAAACAGUAUUUCUCUUCGGAGCAAGGAGACAGGUGGUGCAUGGUUGUCGUCAGCUCGUGUCGUGAGAUGUUGGGUUAAGUCCCGCAACGAGCGCAACCCUUAUGGUCAGUUACUACGCAAGAGGACUCUGGCCAGACUGCCGUUGACAAAACGGAGGAAGGUGGGGAUGACGUCAAAUCAUCAUGCCCUUUAUGACUUGGGCUACACACGUACUACAAUGGCGUUAAACAAAGAGAAGCAAGACCGCGAGGUGGAGCAAAACUCAGAAACAACGUCCCAGUUCGGACUGCAGGCUGCAACUCGCCUGCACGAAGUCGGAAUUGCUAGUAAUCGUGGAUCAGCAUGCCACGGUGAAUACGUUCCCGGGCCUUGCACACACCGCCCGUCA